UACGAGGGGGGGCAAGCGUUGUCCGGAUUUAUUGGGCGUAAAGGGCUCGUAGGCGGCGUGUCGCGUCGGGAGUGAAAGGACCGGGGCUUAACCCCGGUUCUGCUUCCGGUACGGGCAUGCUGGAGUGUGGCAGGGGAGACUGGAAUUCCGUGGUGUAGCGGUGGAAUGCGCAGAUAUCAGGAGGAACACCGGUGGCGAAGGCGGGUCUCUGGGCCAUUACUGACGCUGGAGGAGCGAAAGCGUGGGGAGCGAACAGG
rnacentral:rRNA from 1 species